rnacentral:rRNA from 1 species
UACGGGGGGGGCAAGCGUUGUUCGGAAUUACUGGGCGUAAAGGGCUCGUAGGUGGCCAACUAAGUCAGACGUGAAAUCCCUCGGCCUAACCGGGGAACUGCGUCUGAUACUGGAAGGCUAGAGAUUGGGAGAGGGAUGCGGAAUUCCAGGUGUAGCGGUGAAAUGCGUAGAUAUCUGGAGGAACACCGGUGGCGAAGGCGGCUAUCUGGACGGUUUCUGACGCUAAGACGCGAAAGCGUGGGGAGCAAACAGG